GACGAACGCUGGCGGCGUUCUUAACACAUGCAAGUCUAACGGAAAGGCCCUGCUUUUGUGGGGUGCUCGAGUGGCUAACGGGUGAGUAACACGUGAUUAACCUGCCCUUGACUUUGGGAUAACUUCAGGAAACUGGGGCUAAUACCGGAUAGGAGCUCCUGCUGCAUGGUGGGGGUUGGAAAGUUUCGGCGGUUGGGGAUGGACUCGCGGCUUAUCAGCUUGUUGGUGGGGUAGUGGCUUACCAAGGCUUUGACGGGUAGCCGGCCUGAGAGGGUGACCGGCCACAUUGGGACUGAGAUACGGCCCAGACUCCUACGGGAGGCAGCAGUGGGGAAUAUUGCACAAUGGGCGGAAGCCUGAUGCAGCAACGCAGCGUGCGGGAUGACGGCCUUCGGGUUGUAAACCGCUUUCGCCUGUGACGAAGCGUGAGUGACGGUAAUGGGUAAAGAAGCACCGGCUAACUACGUG
rnacentral:rRNA from 1 species